rnacentral:rRNA from 1 species
AAAUUGAAGAGUUUGAUCAUGGCUCAGAUUGAACGCUGGCGGCAGGCCUAACACAUGCAAGUCGAGCGGAAACGAGUUG